UUCUGUGAGUCAGGAAUUUAAAGGAACUUAGUUGGGUGGUUCUGCCUCGCUGACUCUUAUGAGGUUGGACAAUGCUGCAGUCAUCCAGGGUGGGAGGAUCCACUUCCAAAACGUCUCACUCACAUGACUAUUGGCAGAAAGCCUCAGUUCCUUGAAAAUGUGGACUUCUCUGCAGGCCUUCUGGAGUGUCCUCCUGACAGCAACUGGCCUUUCCCAGAGAGAGUGAUCCAACAGAGAGAGCAAGUAGGAUAUAGCUGCGCCUUUCAUGACAGCCUCAGAAGCCACAAAUCACCGUGUCUGCUAUGUUUUAUUCAUCAGAAGUGAGUCGCUGAGUCCAACCAUAUUCACAGGGAGGCAAAGUAAGCUCUACCUCUUAAAGGAAAGGAGUAUCCAAGAAUUUGUGGAUAUAUUUUAAAACGGCCACAGCAGAGUGCUGAUCUAUGCAGAACGAAGGCUGGGGUUUACAAGGGCGCUGCAGCUACUGUCCCCGUGGUCGAGUCUGGGUCAUGAAAUAACCAUGCCUUAGCGGUCGGACGUGUGCCUGCUUGACAGCAAAGUACCAGUUUGACGACAAUGAUGCAUCCAGUUCCCCGAGGACCUCAGAUGGACAGAAUUCAACUCAUCACAUUUCUUGGUUCUUGACACGCUCUCCUCGUUAGUCCAUCACAUAUUGCACGGAUUCAUUCAUAUCGCUGCAUGUAGGCUGCUUUGACCUGCUGUAGAAUAUCUCAUUGUGUGGAUGCACAUGUGGAUCACUGAGUAUGUCAGAGCUGGCAAGAUACGUCAGAAGAGAAAGGAGAAACUCUUAACUAAAUAGAGUUGGAAAUAAAAUAAUUGUCUGUAUGGAAUAAGAUCAAAGGUCCCACAUGUUAAAGUCAACCCCAGAUGAAUUAAAGUCUUACAUGUCAAAAAAAAUUGAAACUUUUAGAAGAAAAUUAAGGUGGAUAUAUUUUAGACCUUAAGGUAGAGAAAGAUUUCUUAAAGAAGACACUUACAGGAUUGAUUACAAACAAAAAGACUGGUACAUUUGAAUGUAUUAUGUUAAGAACUUUUCCACCAAAAGAAAGCCUCGAUUUCCUCAUUUUUAAGAUGAGGAUAAUAAUCCCUACCUUAUAGAAUUCUAAUAAGAUGAAAUGAAGCAACAUAUACAAAAUACUUAGCACAGAUCCUAACACCUACAAAAUAAUAAAUGGUAACGAUUAUUAUUCUUCUCAAACAACAAUCCUAUUAUUUAUCAAAUAAUACUGAGUAAUAUGACAAGACAUAUUUAAACCACACAAGCCAUAUGCAGACAAGUGUUUAAUAUCAUAGUGAUAGUUUCAAGAGAGAGAUAAUAAUUUAUUCUACAUUUAUCAGAGGUCUAUAGCCCAGUAGUCAAUAAAUACUUAUCUAUAGUCAAUAAGUACUAUCAAGCAUCCAUGCCAGGAACCAUGCUAGGGGCUGAUUAAUUUACAUCAAUCACCAUGACUUUUUUCCCACAAACUAACACACACACAAUCUUCAUAGAUUUUUCUGUGAUCACAGCAAGGAAAAGACCUACGCAUGUUUGGAUCAUCUGUGUACAGUCCUACAGAAGAACUUUGACACUAUCAGAGACAGAAAUCUCAGAAUAGUCCAACUCUCACUUAUUUGUGCUAAUGAAAGAGUAAAGUAAAAGAGACAAUUAAAAUGGGAAAUGUGUUUUGUUUUGUUUUGGUGUUUUGUUUUACAAGUAUGCAAAAACCUCAAAUCAACCUGACCCAACAAUAAGGAAGCAAGUCAGAAAAAGGCAGUCUUCCAGAGCUGUUUGUUCAGCAGCUCAGUAAUGCCAUGAAGGUUUGCUUCCUUUCUCUGCUUUGUGUUUCUGGAGAGAGUCCGCAUACAUUUCAAUAUGGCUGACAGCAGUUCUGGAAUGUAUAAAGCCUUGCAUAAAGAAAAUGACAGUUCACUAUGAAAAUCUGAUUCGGAUGAUGUUGAAAAUAGAUUUAGUGUCUGCUCUGCCUCUCUGUUUUCUAGGACUUCACCACCUCACAGACUUUGUACACUCAUGGUUCACAACUUCCUCACUGUGUUUUCUUUAACGAGUAGAAGAUAAAUAAGCUUUAAGAAAUAGUAAAUUAUAUCAAAAUAGACUUUAUCAUAUAAUUUGCCUAAUUAUGUACCUUCAGUAAGUGUUUAUUGAACUCUGGGGUGUCAACAAUUUUUUAUUCAGCUCUCAUAAGUAAUAUUUGCUUAGAAAUCUACCCAUAAAUAGGAUAACAACUUUCAUAAAACAAGAAUUUAUACCUAGCUAACAUGAAAAAGCUAAACAUCCCUUGAAGUACAAUUCUCCUGAAAAUCAUCCCAAUAUGGUUUAUUGAGGCUGAUGGAUUUGGACACCAGCUCUUAAGAAAAAAGAUAAAGAGGAAAGCUACUGCCUGCCACAACAUAUUCUUUUUCCCAAGAGCUGGUAAGUUUCUUCCAUAUGUGGAAUCCAAUAACGUUCGGAACAUUCUUUUCUCUUUCUGGUAAUGUGAUAUACCCAACGUGGGCCUAUGAUACAAGGAAGGAGAGUAGAUCAGGAGUCAAAAACCACAGGUCCUAGUUCUGGUUCUAUCAUUUCUUUGCUGUGAAAGUCUGGACCAGUGACUUCAUAGCUCUGAGUUUCUGUUGUGUCAUUCUUCAAGUCAGGUCAUCAUUUGCCUUCCCUACUUCACAGGUAGUAUACAGUAAUCUUUUCAAAAGCCCUUUAGAGGACAUAACACAACCUUAUGUUUAUUUUCUGCUAGAGCAUGACUCCCUUGAGGGCUUGGAGCAUGUCUUAAUCAAAUUUGUAUAUUCCACCAUUCCUACCCCAGACCUAUUAUUAGGUGCUCAAUAAAUGUUGAUUUUAAAUGACAGCUGUCAUGAAAUAAAUGAAAACAGAAGCCAACAGUGACGGUUUGAGCUGCCUGCUGGCUGGCAUGUGACACUUAACAUCUAAAGAGUGAUAGUGGCAGCUAAAGUGCGGAAGGAAUCCACUUUAUGAAACUAUCUGAGCAGUGAAGCACUGGAAAUCACAGAGUCUCCUUUUGGCUAUUUUACAUUUAGAUAUGAAAGCUUGUCAGGCUGGGCUGAGAAUAGACAAUGAGAAACUAACACAUUUCAACAGGUUUUGAAUAGUUUCCCAGUGAAGAAUUUUCCUGGCCUCUCUCCACCCUGGUUUUUAUCCCUCUUCUUGGGAGUUAUUUUUCGCAAAUGUACCCCAUGAUUGGCAAAUUUCAGAAGAAUAACUGGGGUUGGCUCAGUUCAGCUCCUCCCCGUCCUUCUCCUGAGUCUGCUUCCAAAGGCAAUCUGCAAGGGAGGAAUAAAGCAACUCAGGGAAGGGAAAAAGAGAUGUGAAGAAGGAAAGAAAUUGGAAGACCCAAAACAACAUGAUGGUUAGUAGAGCUAAUGAAAAUGAGGAAGCUCCAAUAAUAUCUGGUUUUUUUUCUCUGACUUUGUGAAAACCAUUUGUUAUUAUGAUACGACAAUGUAAUCAAUGGUACUCAGUAAAGUCAGUACCCCAAAAUUCGG
rnacentral:lncRNA from 1 species